AGCAGCCGCGGUAAUUCCAGCUCCAAUAGCGUAUAUUAAAGUUGUUGCAGUUAAAAAGCUCGUAGUUGAAUUUCGGGAUCAAUUUAUUGGUCGUGCUAUUGUACGUACUGGUAUUAUUGAUUCCUACCUUCUGACGAACCACGAUGUCAUUAAUUUGGUGUCAUGGGGAAUCAGGACUGUUACUUUGAAAAAUUAGAGUGUUUAAAGCAGGCUCACGCUUGAAUACAUUAGCAUGGAAUAACGAAAUAGGACGUUUGAUUCUAUUUUGUUGGUUUCUAGGAUCGACGUAAUGAUUAAUAGGGAUAGUUGGGGGCAUUAGUAUUCAAUUGUCAGAGGUGAAAUUCUUGGAUUUUAUUGAAGACUAACUACUGCGAAAGCAUUUGCCAAGGAUGUUUUCAUUAAUCAAGA
rnacentral:rRNA from 1 species